rnacentral:rRNA from 1 species
UCAUUGAGUAGUACUAUUACCAGUGAUGUCAUAAAAUUAAAAAUUGAUUUAUUUUAUUAUCAGUCUCGUCUAAUUUACUGGUGCCAGAAGACUCGGUAACGCCAGAGAGGCCAACGUUAAUCAUCAUAACCAGGCGUAAAGGAUAUGUAGGCCGCUAAAAUUACAACAAAUAAACAUAUCAAAUAUUAAUAUUAGAUAGUUUAAUAUAAUUUGAAGUAAUAAGCUAGAAUCAAAAUAAAGUUGAACCGUAUAAUAUUUAGACCAUAGUUAAAAUUAUCAGAAUCUAGAUAGAAUACUAAUGGCGUAAGCUACCAAUGUUUAAUGAUUGACGCUGAUAUAUGAAGGUUAGGAUAGUAAAACAGAUUAGAUACCUGAUUAGCCCUUUCUGUCAACGAUGAAUGGUAGUCAUUAAUUGAUAUAAUAUAUCAUUAUAUGUACUAUGUUAACACAUGGAACCAUUCCGCCUUGUG